UGAGAAGUAGUGUACGGUGCACACAGAUCUUUGACCCCUGUAGAACCGGUUCGAUCCCCGUCCUCUCAA
rnacentral:tRNA from 1 species